rnacentral:rRNA from 1 species
GACGUAGGGCGCGAGCGUUGUCCGGAUUUAUUGGGCGUAAAGAGCUCGUAGGCGGCUUGUCGCGUCGAAUGUGAAAACUCGGGGCUCAACUCCGAGCUUGCAUUCGAUACGGGCAGGCUAGAGUUCGGUAGGGGAGACUGGAAUUCCUGGUGUAGCGGUGAAAUGCGCAGAUAUCAGGAAGAACACCAACGGCGAAGGCAGCUCGCUGGGACGGUACUGACGCUGAGACGCGAAAGCGUGGGGAGCGAACAGG